rnacentral:tRNA from 1 species
GGAGAGGUGCGUGAGUGGCUGAAACGGGCAGUCUUGAAAACUGCUGUGGACAAUUUGUCCACCGGGGGUUCGAAUCCCUCCCUCUCCG